rnacentral:misc_RNA from 1 species
UUGUUGAGCUAGGAAAAAAAAAUUUUGACAUUUUAAUGUUAGUUCUUUUUUCCCCCACCUUAAUUUUUGCCAUUUUUCUUUCCCCACAUUCAUAUAUUUUUUUGAUUUCUCCUAUAUGUGUGAUUGAUGUGGGAGGCUGGGGAAAAGAUGGUUUUAGUGGUUGGUUCAAGAGCCUGCACAAGGUAUAUCGAAAUGUCAACCCAAAAUGCAUCAGAUGGGAAAGAGAAAUUGUAGAGUUCGAAUAUUGUAUAUACAAUUAGCUUCUUUAUUCUAAUCUAAAAAU